rnacentral:rRNA from 1 species
UCUCUAGGUGGCUUACCUGCAAGUCGAGGGGUAACAGGAAUAGCUUGCUAUUUGCUGACGACCGGCGCACGGGUGCGUAACGCGUAUGCAACCUACCUUUUACAGAGGGAUAGCCCGAAGAAAUUCGGAUUAAUACCUCAUAAUAUUGAUAUUUGGCAUCAAAUAUUAAUUAAAGUUUCGGCGGUAAAAGAUGGGCAUGCGUUUUAUUAGUUAGUUGGUAAGGUAACGGCUUACCAAGACUACGAUAAAUAGGGGUCCUGAGAGGGAGAUCCCCCACACUGGUACUGAGACACGGACCAGACUCCUACGGGAGGCAGCAGUGAGGAAUAUUGGACAAUGGGCGAGAGCCUGAUCCAGCCAUGCCGCGUGCAGGAAGACGGCCCUAUGGGUUGUAAACUGCUUUUAUACAGGAAGAAACCCCCUUACGUGUAGGGUGCUGACGGUACUGUAAGAAUAAGCACCGGGGUAACUCCGUGCCAGCAGCCGCGGUAAUACCGGAGGGGUGGCAAGGCGUUAUCCGGAAAUCAUUUGGGGUUUAAAGGGGUCCGUAAGGCGGGUUUAUUUAAAUUCAGAAGGUGAAAAUCCCCCCCACCUUUACCUGGGGGAACUGCCCUUUUUGAUACUGGGUAGUCUUUGGAUUUUUUUGGGAAAGUUAAAAUAAAAAUGGUGUUAUUGUUACCGGUUGAAAAUUCGCUUAAAUUUUUUCCCCAAAAUACCCCGUUUGGGAAAGGGAGGGCCUCCCUCCCUUUUUUACUUGACCCUCAAAGGGAAAAAAAGCCUUGGGGGCGGGAAACAGGAAUAUAAUAACCCCGGGGUAUCCACACCCCGUAACAAUGGGAACCACAGUUGUGUGGGGAUAUUUUCUCCUGGUGCCUACACGCAAAGUGUGUAUAAGUGUUC